CACCACCGUGGAAGGGCACCAGCCGGGCCCUGGGGUCACAGAAGUGCCCCAGGAAGUGUGGCCGUUAAGCCUGGUGAGAGGAGAGCGAGCCGGGAGGACGGUGAGAGACAGGCAUGACGGGGCGCUCCCCAUUUCCGGCAUCUCGGCUUGGCAGGACCCCUCCAGGACCUCACUCCUCUGAGACGCACUGCAGACCUCACAGGUGACAGCAGCGUUUUGCUGACUCAGAGGCAACUACCACGAUGACCCUCCAGCCCGUGUCCAGACCUGGGGCAGCGACUUGGACAGGGGGCUGCAGAAGUGGGUCUGUGAGGGGGACCUGACGGGGGGCUGCAGAAGUGGGUCUGUGAGGCGGACCUGG
rnacentral:lncRNA from 10 species